rnacentral:rRNA from 1 species
UACGAAGGGGGCUAGCGUUGUUCGGAAUUACUGGGCGUAAAGCGCGCGCAGGCGGUUUCUCAAGUCAGUGGUGAAAGCCCGGAGCUCAACUCCGGAACUGCCAUUGAAACUGUUUAGCUUGAGGAUGAGAGAGGUGAGUGGAAUUCCCAGUGUAGAGGUGAAAUUCGUAGAUAUUCGGAAGAACACCAGUGGCGAAGGCGGCUCACUGGACCGGUAUUGACGCUGAGGUGCGAAAGCGUGGGGAGCAAACAGG